rnacentral:rRNA from 1 species
AUGGACGAUCACGUCCUCAACACACUUAUUGAUUUCUGCAACUUUUUUGACGCUAUGUCUCGAAAGUCGAUCAGUGUGCGGCAUCUUACACGAUUACAAGAGGAGAUCAUUUCAAUACUUUGUGAGCUUGAGAUAUAUUUCCCAUCGUCAUUCCUUGAUAUCAUGGUCCAUCUACUAGUUCAUAUUAUUGCGGAGGUUAAAGACCUUGGACCGACAUUCUUGCAUACCAUGUCCCCGUUUGAAUGGAUGAAUGGAAUCGUGAAGGGAUACGUUCGUAAUAAAGCCCGUCCGGAUGGAAGUAUCGUCCAGGCCUAUCUAAUCGAGGAGUGUAUAUCAUUCUGCAAGAAUGUCAUAAAUGAUGAUCAAUCGCUUGGUUUGCCCUUGAAGAAACAUGUUGAUAGGCUUGAAGGAGUGGGUCACUCACACCCGAAGCGCGAUUUAAAUGUGGAUCUACAAAACCGCCGAGCCGACUUCGACAGAGCGCACACAAUAGUGUUACAACACGCAGAUAUAAUCAGUCCUUGGCAGCAAACUCACAAGGUCACCUUAAGGAGAGAGCAUGAAAUGGCAGGGAGGUAA